CACGUAGGGUGCGAGCGUUGUCCGGAAUUAUUGGGCGUAAAGAGCACGUAGGCGGUGUGUCGCGUCGGCCGUGAAAACCUGCAGCUUAACUGUGGGCUUGCGGUCGAUACGGGCAUCACUGGAGUUCGGCAGGGGAGACUGGAAUUCCUGGUGUAGCGGUGAAAUGCGCAGAUAUCAGGAGGAACACCAGUGGCGAAGGCGGUGUUCUGGGCCAGUACUGACGCUGAGGCGCGAAAGCGUGGGGAGCGAACAGG
rnacentral:rRNA from 1 species